rnacentral:rRNA from 1 species
UACGUAGGAGGCAAGCGUUGUCCGGAAUUACUGGGCGUAAAGCGCGUGUAGGUGGUGGGACAAGUCUGCUGUGAAAGCGCCUGGCUUAACCGGGCGAGGUCGGCGGAAACUGUCCGACUAGAGGACGGUAGAGGGGGGUGGAAUUCCCGGUGUAGUGGUGAAAUGCGUAGAGAUCGGGAGGAACACCUGUGGCGAAAGCGGCUCACUGGACCAUAACUGACGCUGAUGCACGAAAGCCGGGGGAGCAAACAGG